rnacentral:rRNA from 1 species
UGAGGAAUAUUGGUCAAUGGAGGCAACUCUGAACCAGCCAUGCCGCGUGCAGGAUGACGGUCCUAUGGAUUGUAAACUGCUUUUGUACAGGAAGAAACAUUGCUACGUGUAGCAACUUGACGGUACUGUAAGAAUAAGGAUCGGCUAACUCCGUGCCAGCAGCCGCGGUAAUACGGAGGAUCCGAGCGUUAUCCGGAAUUAUUGGGUUUAAAGGGUUCGUAGGCGGUUAGAUAAGUCAGUGGUGAAAUUUCCUAGCUUAACUAGGGCACUGCCAUUGAUACUGUUUAACUUGAAUAGUAUGGAAGUAACUAGAAUAUGUAGUGUAGCGGUGAAAUGCUUAGAUAUUACAUGGAAUACCAAUUGCGAAGGCAGGUUACUACGUACUUAUUGACGCUGAUGA